AUUGAACGCUGGCGGCAGGCCUAACACAUGCAAGUCGAACGAGUGGCGGACGGGUGAGUAAUGUCUGGGAAACUGCCCGAUGGAGGGGGAUAACUACUGGAAACGGUAGCUAAUACCGCAUACCAUCGGAUGUGCCCAGAUGGGAUUAGCUAGUAGGUGGGGUAACGGCUCACCUAGGCGACGAUCCCUAGCUGGACUGGGAGGAUGACCCGCCAUACUGGAGCCGAGAGACGGACCAGACUCCAAAGGUAAGCCGCAGUGGGGAGUAUUGCGCAAUGGGCGCUAGCCUGAUGCAGCCAUGCCGCGUGUAUGAAGAGGGCCUUCGGGUUGGAAAGUACUUCCAGCGAGGAGGCGUUACUCGAAGCAGAAGCACCGGCUAACUCCGUGCCAGCAGCGGCGGUAAUUC
rnacentral:rRNA from 1 species